rnacentral:rRNA from 1 species
GUAGGUGGCAAGCGUUGUCCGGAAUUAUUGGGGCGUAAAGCGCGCGCAGGCGGUUCUUUAAGUCUGAUGUGAAAGCCCACGGCUCAACCGUGGAGGGUCAUUGGAAACUGGAGAACUUGAGUACAGAAGAGGAAAGCGGAAUUCCACGUGUAGCGGUGAAAUGCGCAGAGAUGUGGAGGAACACCAGUGGCGAAGGCGGCUUUCUGGUCUGUAACUGACGCUGAGGCGCGAAAGCGUGGGGAGCAAACAGGAUUAGAUACCCUGGUAGUCCACGCCGUAAACGAUGAGUGCUAAGUGUUAGGGGGUUUCCGCCCCUUAGUGCUGCAGCUAACGCAUUAAGCACUCCGCCUGGGGAGUACGGCCGCAAGGCUG